GACGAACGCUGGCGGCGUGCCUAAUACAUGCAAGUCGAACGCAGUGGGGACGGGUGAGUAACACGUGGGUAACCUCCCAUCAGAGGGGAUAACACUUGGAAACAGGUGCUAAACCGAUACUGAUGGAUGGACCCGCGGUGCAUUAGCUAGUUGUGGGGGUAACGGCUAACCAAGGCCACGAUGCAUAGCGGACCUGAGAGGGUGACCGGCAACACUGGGACUGAGACACGGACCAGACGCCUACGGGAGGCAGCAGGAGGGAAUCUUGAGCAAUGGACGAAAGUCUGACCGAGCAACGACGCGUGAGUGAAGAAGGUGUUCGGGUCGUAAAGCUCUGUUGUAAGAGAAGCGGUAUCUAACCAGAAAGCCACGGCUAACUACGUGCCAGCAGCCGCGGUAAUUC
rnacentral:rRNA from 1 species